CAAAACACUCUUCUCUUCCAAAACCUCCAUUGAAGACCAAGCUCAAGAACAAACUAUGAAGGUUGAUUCUUGGAGAUUUCUUCUCAUAUUUUGGUGGUAUUUCUAAUAUAAAAGGUGUUGAUUGCUAUAGGAUGUCUCCUAAGUUAAGGUCUUGGAUAGAUCUCCGAAGUUCAAGUAAAGGUCCAGGCACUGGUGGACGUUAGAUCUUAUAAUACGAUGUUGCUGCUAUCCGGACGUGGAGCUUUCAUCCGGACUUGCUACUCCUCAUGCUUUUGAGGCAGUCUACUGUAACUAUCUAGCUUAGAUGUACGCUUUAGCAAGUGGAGCAUGUUCGACUAGUGUUUUUUUCCACGUUUAUUUCAUACU